UGUGGGUAUAUAAACCAACAUAAGACAGCUUAUUCGGCUACACCAAUGGAUCUUCAAAUGGAAUACUUAGUUCAUAAUUUGGGUAUGAAUAAGGGAAUGAAGAGGUCUCGUUGUUCUUCAGCUAAGGUUGAGAGGAAGAUCAUUGAGAAGAACAGGAGAAAUCAUACGAAGAAUUUGUUCUCCAUACUCAAUUCUCUACUUCCCCAUCAUGAUUCUAAGGAGCCAUUAUCACUACCUGAUCAAAUAGAUGAAGCUGUGAAUUACAUAAAGUGCCUACAAACAAGGUUGAAGGAAUCCAGCGAGAAAAAGGAAAGUCUAAUGGGAAGAAGGAGAUCUUAUAGAUGUAUUGCAGCGGAAACCAUGGCCAGCUUGAGAUCUCCUGAAAUUAGGAUUAACGAAAAGGGUUCUGCUAUGGAGGUGGUUAUGAUGACAGGGCCAGACGGUCAGUUCAUGUUUUAUGAGAUCAUCCGCAUACUUCAUGAAGAAGGAGCAGAAGUACUACACGCCAAUUUCUCGGUUGUUGGGAAUACAGUUUUCCACGUUGUUCAUGCUGAGAUUGGAGAAUUUGGUGCAGCAAAAAUAUUAAAGGAGAAACUAAACAAGUUUGUGAAUGGAUCCAGCAGCGAACAGGAGCUUCGACAAGAGCUAUGGGACGAUGAAAUCCAUCCUGAUAUGUGGGAUUUCCCAAUCAUGUGAUUCAAGGACCGUAGGAGUGAAUUAGAUAGGAAGAGCAGCCUUGAUGUUUUCCAAAGCUGCAUAGCUAGCUAGCUAGGCUGCCUGCUGGUGCAUCAGAAUUUUCUUCCUGUCUGUGUACUAGAGAUCGUGAACCUUACAGUGGAUUUAUGAAGAUACUGAAAUUGCAGAAGGUUGCAUAGAAGAUGCAAUGCCCAUACUAGACAUGGAUCAGAUGAUAGCAGCAGAAAACAGAAAUAAAAUGUAGAAAUUUGAGAAGAAAAGAAAGGGACAGAUUCUCGAAGAUAAGAGGCAAGAGAUCCAAAAGUAGAACCAAGAAGAUCACUCAAGCUCUCCUAAUUUAAUGCCAGGUUCCUCUCCGGGGGUAUCAUAUGUUUGUAAUGCUGAUGAUUAUUGGUUUUAUUAAUGAAAGCUAUUUUGCAACUGUAAAGAAGUUCUUUAAAUUGUAAAACAUGCAUUGAAUAGGAUAGGAAAUACAUUUUUGAACUAAGUACAAUUGACAAUGACAAAGAAAAGCAAACAUUCUAAUCGGAUUAUUGUUUAAGUCGUUUUGUACUUCUCUUUGUGGUAUAGGUUGAUCUUUAAGUUAUUUUGGUGAAGAUACAAUCUCUUGUGCCCUUUUUUGUUCACUUCCAAUUGGAAACAAAAUGAUUGCUCAUACGACGGUUGUCAUGAUAUGGGUUUAGGAGAAAGUGUUUCUUUAGACUCGGUGUCCCAUCAUCAGCAAUAAACAGUUUUUUCAUCUUCA